GAUGAAGAACGUAGCGAAAUGCGAUAAGUAAUGUGAAUUGCAGAAUUCAGUGAAUCAUCGAAUCUUUGAACGCACAUUGCGCCCCCUGGUAUUCCGGGGGGCAUGCCUGUUCGAGCGUCAUUUCACCACUCAAGCCUCGCAUGGUAUUGGGCAACGCGGUCCGCCGCGUGCCUCAAAUCGACCGGCUGGGUCUUCUGUCCCCUAAGCGUUGUGGAAACUAUUCGCUAAAGGGUGUUCGGGAGGCUACGCCGUAAAACAACCCCAUUUCUAAGGUUGACCUCGGAUCAGGUAGGGAUACCCGCUGAACUUAAGCAUAUCAAUAAGCGGAGGA
rnacentral:misc_RNA from 1 species